rnacentral:snRNA from 1 species
UUCGGCAGCACAUAUACUGAAAAAAUAAAAAAAGUUGGAACGACACAGAGAAGAUUAGCAUGGCCCCUGCGCAAGGAUGACCCGCAAAUUCGUGAAGCGUUCCAUAUAAAA